GCUUACACAUGCAAGUCGAACGAUGAAGCCCUUCGGGGUGGAUUAGUGGCGAACGGGUGAGUAACACGUGGGCAAUCUGCCCUGCACUCUGGGACAAGCCCUGGAAACGGGGUCUAAUACCGGAUAUGACACGGGAUCGCAUGAUCUUCGUGUGGAAAGCUCCGGCGGUGCAGGAUGAGCCCGCGGCCUAUCAGCUUGUUGGUGAGGUAGUGGCUCACCAAGGCGACGACGGGUAGCCGGCCUGAGAGGGCGACCGGCCACACUGGGACUGAGACACGGCCCAGACUCCUACGGGAGGCAGCAGUGGGGAAUAUUGCACAAUGGGCGAAAGCCUGAUGCAGCGACGCCGCGUGAGGGAUGACGGCCUUCGGGUUGUAAACCUCUUUCAGCAGGGAAGAAGCGAAAGUGACGGUACCUGCAGAAGAAGCGCCGGCUAACUACGUGCCAGCAGCCGCGGUAAUACGUAGGGCGCAAGCGUUGUCCGGAAUUAUUGGGCGUAAAGAGCUCGUAGGCGGCUUGUCACGUCGGUUGUGAAAGCCCGGGGCUUAACCCCGGGUCUGCAGUCGAUACGGGCAGGCUAGAGUUCGGUAGGGGAGAUCGGAAUUCCUGGUGUAGCGGUGAAAUGCGCAGAUAUCAGGAGGAACACCGGUGGCGAAGGCGGAUCUCUGGGCCGAUACUGACGCUGAGGAGCGAAAGCGUGGGGAGCGAACAGGAUUAGAUACCCUGGUAGUCCAC
rnacentral:rRNA from 1 species